rnacentral:rRNA from 1 species
UACGGAGGGAGCUAGCGUUGUUCGGAAUUACUGGGCGUAAAGCGUACGUAGGCGGUUAUUCAAGUCAGAGGUGAAAGCCCGGGGCUCAACCCCGGAACUGCCUUUGAAACUAGGUAGCUAGAAUCUUGGAGAGGUCAGUGGAAUUCCGAGUGUAGAGGUGAAAUUCGUAGAUAUUCGGAAGAACACCAGUGGCGAAGGCGACUUACUGGACACAUAUUGACGCUGAGGUGCGAAAGCGUGGGGAGCAAACAGG